rnacentral:rRNA from 1 species
AGGGAGUUUGAUCCUGGCUCAGGAUGAACGCUGGCGGCGUGCCUAACACAUGCAAGUCGAACGAAGCACUUUUCCCGAGGAAGAAGCGUGCUUGCACAAAUCGGACUCAUUUAAAGUGACUUAGUGGCGGACGGGUGAGUAACGCGUGGGUAACCUGCCUCACACAGGGGGAUAACAGUUAGAAAUGACUGCUAAUACCGCAUAAGCGCACAGAAUCGCAUGAUACCGUGUGAAAAGAUUUAUCGGUGUGAGAUGGACCCGCGUCUGAUUAGCCAGUUGGCAGGGUAACGGCCUACCAAAGCGACGAUCAGUAGCCGGCCUGAGAGGGUGAACGGCCACAUUGGGACUGAGACACGGCCCAAACUCCUACGGGAGGCAGCAGUGGGGGAUAUUGCACAAUGGGGGAAACCCUGAUGCAGCGACGCCGCGUGAGUGAUGAAGUAUUUCGGUAUGUAAAGCUCUAUCAGCAGGGAAGAAAAUGACGGUACCUGACUAAGAAGCCCCGGCUAACUACGUGCCAGCAGCCGCGGUAAUACGUAGGGGGCAAGCGUUAUCCGGAUUUACUGGGUGUAAAGGGAGCGUAGACGGCGAGUCAAGUCUGAUGUGAAAGGUGGGGGCUCAACCCCCAAACUGCAUUGGAAACUGGUUUGCUAGAGUGUCGGAGAGGUAAGUGGAAUUCCUAGUGUAGCGGUGAAAUGCGUAGAUAUUAGGAGGAACACCAGUGGCGAAGGCGGCUUACUGGACGAUCACUGACGUUGAGGCUCGAAAGCGUGGGGAGCAAACAGGAUUAGAUACCCUGGUAGUCCCCU